rnacentral:rRNA from 1 species
ACGGGAGGCAGCAGUGGGGAAUAUUGCACAAUGGGCGAAAGCCUGAUGCAGCGACGCCGCGUGAGGGAUGACGGCCUUCGGGUUGUAAACCUCUUUCAGCAGGGACGAAGCGGAAGUGACGGUACCUGCAGAAGAAGCACCGGCCAACUACGUGCCAGCAGCCGCGGUAAUACGUAGGUGGCAAGCGUUGUCCGGAAUUAUUGGGCGUAAAGAGCUCGUAGGCGGUUUGUCGCGUCGUCUGUGAAAUCCCGCAGCUCAACUGCGGGCUUGCAGGCGAUACGGGCAGACUCGAGUACUGCAGGGGAGACUGGAAUUCCUGGUGUAGCGGUGAAAUGCGCAGAUAUCAGGAGGAACACCGGUGGCGAAGGCGGUUCUCUGGGCAUUACCUGACGCUGAGAAGCGAAAGC